UAAUUUUCAUAUUCAAAUUGCUCGGUAACGGUGUAUCGCUUAAUUUUUACGUUAUUACGGGAAGUAAAUUACAAAACAUAAAAAGAAGAAAAGUAAAAAAACAAAAGCAUAUAGAAAACAUAAUUACAAUAAAAAUUGAUUUCACGAAAUGCAAAAAUAAAACAUAAAGUGUUAAAAAUAAGGAAUAACGUAUAAAUUUAUUAAUAUUAAAGAAAAUUCAGGAUAUUAAUAUCCUUUUUUAAUAUAAAUGUUUAAUAUUCAAAUGGAAGUCAAAAAUAUAGAAACUUAAUAAAAAAGUAGUGUAAAAUAAGAGAAAGAGGAAAAAAGAACAAAAAUGGAGAAUUUUAAAAAUUUUUAUUUUCAAAAUAAUAAAAAAAUUUUAAACUUUUUAUUAAUGAUAUUCAAUUUUAGAAACAUAUUUAUAAAAAAUAAUUGUUUAAUUCGCAAUCCGGUUGUAUAAUAUGCAAUUAAAAUUAAAAUAAUUAAACAGACAUAAAAUGUCUCUAAAUAACAUAUCUGAAAUUUUGAAAAAUAAUCAAAAAUAAAGCACAUAUAAUAUUUUUUUUAUUAUAUAAUUUUAAAGAAAUUGUAAAAUCAUAUUUUUAGUGUAUGAAUGAUUAAAGAGGACAAAUUAUUGAUGAAUCUGCAUUUUUAACAUGAAGCUUAUGGAUAUAUGGUAACAAUAUACCCGCAAAUACUUAGUGUUGUUGAAUGAAAUACUUAACUUUUAUAUAGUGAAAAUAUUAUAGAAAACUCUUAAUUCAAUAUAAAAUUAAUAAAAAUUUUAGUGUAAUAGAAAUUGAAAUAUUUUUUUUUUCAGUAAUUAUAUAAUCCUGUGCAUAUCCAUUCAUACAUAUUGAAUAUUAUAAAAAAAUUUAAAUUAUAAGCAAAUAAAUUUAUUUUGAAAAUUUCCCAAAAAAAAAAUACCCUUUUAUUACUGAAAUAAACAUACACCUACUAUAUAAAAAUAUAUGCAUACAUACAUAAAAGAAAAGCUUAUAGGUGUAUGCAUAACACAUAAAAUUUUCUUUUGAAAAUAUUCUAGAGAAAAAAAGAACAUAAAACCCAAAAAAAAGAAAAAUUUGGUAUCGAAAAAACAGAAACCAAUACCAUUUUAUGUUCGCUAAAAUUCAUAUCGAAAAAAAUAUCAUAAUUAUAAUAUAAACACGAUAUUACACAGAAUUAUAAGGUCUAAUUGUAUGCUACAUAAAUGUAUACAAUAAAAUUACAGAAAGCCUAAAAGUUAAUACCUACACGAAUAUAUGCGAAACACAAAAAAAAAACUAUACAAUAAAAAUACUGUGCAUUGCGAGUUCAAAAGGACAGACGAAAGGAUUAUUUUGUGAUUCCUUUAAAGCUGACUUAAAAAAUCUUAAGAAACAAGUAAAAUAAAAAAUAAAAUUUAAAAACACAAAUACACAAAACAUAUCAAAAAAAAAAGGUUAAAGUACCUUUCCUUUUCUACUUUUUCCCUUUCACAUUUACUUUAGUCUUACAAUUUUUAUUUCAAUUUUAUUCUUAUUUCUUUUUCUUUAUUUUUGAUUUUAUCCUCGAUUUUUUCUCUUGAUUCCUUUUUUUAUUAAAUCAAACAGAAAUCGGAUAUUCCGAAAAUAAGAAAUAUAAAAGAAUCCGUACAAGAAAUUAAGAGACGAAAAAAAAAAAUGUACCUACAUACAUGAAUCCUUUAAAGGAUGAUAUAAAGAAAAAAGAAAAAGAAAUAUUCAAUAUAAAUCGCUUUUGUAUGUUAAAUAAAAAAUAAAGAAAAUGGAAAAUAAAAGAAAAAAAAAUUUGAAACGAAUUGUAAAAAUCAAAUAAAAAUUUUAACCAAAAAAAAAAAUUCUAAAUAAAAACUACAAAAUAAAAGUAUUGGGAAAUUUUUUAAAUCGGGAAAAAAUUUAACCAAAAUAGACAAGUAAAUCAAAGAAAACAAAAAUUAAAAGAAAAAGUAAUAAAGAAAUUUAAUAAAGGAAUAAUUCCGAAAACAUAUCAAAAAACAGACACACACGCAUUCAUAAAUUACAAAAAAAAAGGAUAAAAUAACAAAGAAAAAAAAGGACAAAAGUGGAAAAAUAACGAGACAAAAGGAACAAAAAGCAGACCGGAUUAGAGUAAAGAAUUAUCGAAUUAUGGAUAAAAUUAAAAUAUCUUGGCAUAUCCUAAAACUUGUACUUUUAUUUUUAAUAGGUAAGCGAUUGAUUCAAACAAUUUACAUUAUGUAAGUAUACCUAGUUAAAUUGUAAUUUUCAAUCAUUUUUUAAUUAUUUUUACUUCAACCAGUUAGAGAAAAGAAAUUCCAUUGAGGAGAAUAAUGGAAAAAUGUUAAAGAACUUCGAAGUAAAUAAUGUAGAAUAAAGAUUUUUAGAUAUUAAAUUUGAUGCGACCAACAUAGUAAAUGUAGACACUCAUCUUGUAAGAACAGUGUUAAGCUAUUUAAUAUGAAUUUCGUUUAAAUUAUGUGCAUAUGUCGUACAUAUAACGUAUUAUGAUUAGAGAUAGAAAGUUCCCGCAAAAAUAUGCAUGGAACUAUGCUCCUUAUAAUGAAGAAUAAUAUUCAUUCAAAUGUGCUACAAAAAUCAUAAGUUAUACAGAAAAUAUUUUGUCCUGGAUAACAAUUUUAUCGCAUUAUUUGUAAUGUAAAACUCUGCAACCAGUUUGAA